rnacentral:rRNA from 1 species
GACGAACGCUGGCGGCGUGCUUAACACAUGCAAGUCGAACGAAGUGGCGCACGGGUGAGUAACGCGUAAUCAACCUGCCCUUCAGAGGGGGACAACAGUUGGAAACGACUGCUAAUACCGCAUACUGCCGGAGGGGUUUGCGUCUGAUUAGCUAGUGGGAGGGGGAAAGGCCCACCAAGGCGAUGAUCAGUAGCCGGGCUGGGAGGAGGAACGGCAACAUUGGGACUGGGACACGGCCCAGACUCCUACGGGAGGCAGCAGUGGGGAAUCUUCCGCAAUGGACGAAAGUCUGACGGAGCAACGCCGCGGGAGUGAUGACGGCCUUCGGGUUGUAAAGCUCUGUUAAUCGGGACGCGGUACCGGAAUAGAAAGCCACGGCUAACUACGUGCCAGCAGCCGCGGUAAUAC